rnacentral:rRNA from 1 species
AGCGAACGCUGGCGGCAGGCCUAACACAUGCAAGUCGAACGAAGUCUUCGGACUUAGUGGCGGACGGGUGAGUAACACGUGGGAACGUACCUUUUGGUUCGGAACAACUCAGGGAAACUUGAGCUAAUACCGGAUGAGCCCUUAGGGGGAAAGAUUUAUCGCCGAAAGAGCGGCCCGCGUUAGAUUAGCUAGUUGGUGAGGUAAAGGCUCACCAAGGCUACGAUCUAUAGCUGGUCUGAGAGGACGAUCAGCCACACUGGGACUGAGACACGGCCCAGACUCCUACGGGAGGCAGCAGUGGGGAAUCUUGCGCAAUGGGCGAAAGCCUGACGCAGCCAUGCCGCGUGAAUGAUGAGGGUCUUAGGAUUGUAAAAUUCUUUUACCAGGGACGAUAAUGACGGUACCUGGAGAAAAAGCCCCGGCUAACUUCGUGCCAGCCGCCGCCGUAAGAC